rnacentral:tRNA from 1 species
UCCCUGGUGGUCCAGCGGUGAAGACUCUGUGCUUCCACUGCAGGGGGUGUGGGUUCAAUUCCUGGUCGGGGAA